GCGGAAUUCGUGGUGUAGCGGUGAAAUGCUUAGAUAUCACGAAGAACUCCGAUUGCGAAGGCAGCCUGCUAAGCUGCAACUGACAUUGAGGCUCGAAAGUGUGGGUAUCAAACAGGAUUAGAUACCCUGGUAGUCCACACGGUAAACGAUGAAUACUCGCUGUUUGCGAUAUACUGCAAGCGGCCAAGCGAAAGCGUUAAGUAUUCCACCUGGGGAGUACGCCGGCAACGGUGAAACUCAAAGGAAUUGACGGGGGCCCGCACAAGCGGAGGAACAUGUGGUUUAAUUCGAUGAUACGCGAGGAACCUUACCCGGGCUUAAAUUGCAGAUGAAUUACGGUGAAAGCCGUAAGCCGCAAGGCAUCUGUGAAGGUGCUGCAUGGUUGUCGUCAGCUCGUGCCGUGAGGUGUCGGCUUAAGUGCCAUAACGAGCGCAACCCUUGUUGUCAGUUACUAACAGGAUUUGCUGAGGACUCUGACAAGACUGCCAUCGUAAGAUGUGAGGAAGGUGGGGAUGACGUCAAAUCAGCACGGCCCUUACGUCCGGGGCUACACACGUGUUACAAUGGGGGGUACAGAGGGCCGCUACCACGCGAGUGGAUGCCAAUCCCAAAAACCUCUCUCAGUUCGGACUGGAGUCUGCAACCCGACUCCACGAAGCUGGAUUCGCUAGUAAUCGCGCAUCAGCCACGGCGCGGUGAAUACGUUCCCGGGCCUUGUACACACCGCCCGUCAAGCCAUG
rnacentral:rRNA from 1 species